ACUUUAUGGAAAGGCUGACAAAAAUUUGCACCGCCUUUGAGAAUGGUUGCUCUGGAGCAUCCUCUUUGGGGGAUCUCCGGCAGACAGUUAGCAGUGAGAUGGAGCAGUGGCAGAAGGGACUUGUAAGUGGCUUGUGGCUUACUCCCUGUGGCUUAAUCGAAAAAAUUCAAGUUCAAAUACACCUGCCAAAGCCUCAAAAUUCAAAUUGACCUAUGGGAUGGAAGGAGCAGACAAGCAUGGCCAUUGGAAUGUGUUACAGGAAAAAUGUGUAAGAUAAAUGAAACAUAACAGCCAAAUCAUCCAACUCUCUUGUGAGUCAUGAUAGAUAAUCAGCAGGAACGUGGUGGAUGGUGAUAGCCAGUGAGCCCUGCAGCUUCAAAAGACAAGGACAAAAUAUUAGGUUAAUAACAGCUAUUUACAAAA